rnacentral:rRNA from 1 species
UACGAAGGGGGCUAGCGUUGCUCGGAAUGACUGGGCGUAAAGGGCGCGUAGGCGGAUGGCACAGUCAGAUGUGAAAUUCCCGGGCUUAACCUGGGGGCUGCAUUUGAUACGUGUUGUCUUGAGUUCGGAAGAGGGUCGGUAGUACUCCAGUGUAGAGGUGAAAUUCGUAGAUAUUGGGAAGAACACCGGUGGCGAAGGCGGCGACCUGGUCCGACACUGACGCUGAGGCGCGAAAGCGUGGGGAGCAAACAGG